rnacentral:lncRNA from 1 species
CUUGGUCAGAGCUGUUAUGGAAAGUAACAGGUGACUGAGGUUGAUAUCCAAAGUCAGUGAUGUCAAAACCAACAAGAUUGUUGUCAGUUUUGUCAGAGGACACAAUUUUACUGACUUCCACUUUAAUUUUUCAUUUCUGAUUAACAGGAAGAUGUGUACUGAUUUGUGGAUCAUGGCCAACGACUCUGAAGUCUUGUCAAUUCUAUUCUGCAGGCUUUCUAAAAGAGAAAAGACAAGAACUCUUUUCUCCAACCAGCUGAAAACUUGUCCUGGUCAUUAAUACCUCACCCUCCAUGACUUCUCCUGGCUCCUCCACUCAGAUUAACAGAAUACAGUCCAAGGCAUACCCAUGGCUGUGUGGAAACCAUACACUGGAGCUGGGUCACCAGUUUAUCAGCCAGGCUUUGACUGCAGGUCUGAGGGUUCUCUGGAAUGAUCUCAAGCCAUUGUACAGCGACAACUCUGAGUGGCCACAUAGGGCUGCAUUUGAACCCCUGACCCAGGAACAAAAUAAAUUACGUGUAGACUGA